AAAACAAAUGACGAUAGCAAGACAGGGACAUCAGAACCCUGAAUUUCAGGGUUAUGACAAACUACGUCUAAAUGGGAAUCUCUCUGAUGUUUU
rnacentral:snoRNA from 16 species